rnacentral:pre_miRNA from 1 species
GAGAUACCCUUAUGGGGCAGGACUUGCUUCAGUGGGGCUUUGGUGCUCACUGAGUCUGCCCCAUGUGAAGAGUUAUA